rnacentral:hammerhead_ribozyme from 1 species
GCCUUGCUGAAAAGUCCCAAACUUAGGACGAAACAGCUGUCCAAUAC